rnacentral:rRNA from 1 species
UACGGAGGGGGCGAGCGUUAUUCGGAAUUACUGGGCGUAAAGGGCGCGUAGGCGGCCUGCUAAGUCGAACGUGAAAUCCCCGGGCUCAACCCGGGAACUGCGUCCGAUACUGGCAGGCUUGAAUCCGGGAGAGGGAUGUGGAAUUCCAGGUGUAGCGGUGAAAUGCGUAGAUAUCUGGAGGAACACCGGUGGCGAAGGCGGCAUCCUGGACCGGCAUUGACGCUGAGGCGCGAAAGCCAGGGGAGCAAACGGG